CUCUGUAGCUGCCUCUCAACUCUAGACUUUCCAAAGUUUAAAUCAAGAUGUCUUUUGGAAGGGACCGGGGGCAUAAUUAUAACGGAACAGGGGGGAAAUAGGCCUCCGAGGAAGUGAGGUCCACCAGCAGAGUGACAGCUCUUUUGUUCUCCCCCUUGCCCCUCUCUGAAGAGGGAGCAGAGGCCCAUCUUUACUUUCUCUCCCAGGGCCUUGCUAUACCCCUAGAAAGCAUGCAGUUUCUUUUUCUUCAAACUGACUGGGGGUGGGGCAUUGUGGAUAAAACAAGGUAGAGCAAGAUAGAUAGUAAUCUACAUCAAUGGGGAAUUGUGUAUAGGACAUAUCUGUAGACUUUCUAAGCUCUGGGAAGGAGUUGGACUAAGAUUUGUCCACCUCUGGUUCACUGCUAUAUAAAGAGUAAAAUUGUAUAUCAAUGAUUGGUAUGGAGCUUUAAUCACCACAGAAAGAGUUGUUUGAGAGGCAGUGGAACCAACAGAUCUUAAAAAACAGGGGAAGAGAAAUGGGAGAUACAACAAUUUUGUUGCUUUAAUAUUUAUCCAAGACAGGAGAAUUCUCAGUGUGUGUGUGGUGCAUAUGACAACUAUUUGUCCUGCUCUCCAUGCAACAACCAAGCCUCAUAUUUUCCUAGAGAAGACUAUUCUGAUAUGCUUUGAGAGCCAAGAAGCAUGUUUUUGUUUUUUUGUUUUUUAAAAUCACUCAGAUAAAAGCCCUCUUCAGAUAAUAUGUUGUAUGUGCAUUCAGGUAUCUGCACACAUGUGCAUGCUUCUGUGUGAAUGAUUGCACAUGCAUUCAUUUUAAACUAGCUGACCCGGCACAGAGCAUCUGCACCUCUAGUUCUCCCUGCCCCACCUCCCGCUGCAACUGAUCCAGCUCCCUGCCCCGUCUUCAUUUCAUCUCCAUUCCUUCAGUCAGUUUGUUCUCCCCCAUCCCCCCAUCUCUUCAGCCAGUUUGUUCGUUCUCUCCCUCCCCAUCCCUUCAGCCAGUUCUGCCGCUGCUUUCUCUUGGCCAGCCAGCCACUGCUUUCCUGCAUUCCUCCCACCCCUCCCCUUGCUCGUGAACUCUCGCAAGAGCUGCCACACAUGGGAUUAGCGAUGGGUGCAUCUAAGAGAACUAUAGAUAGAUAGAUGUGAAGCUGGGUAGAGGCCCACUGAAAUGCACAAUACAAAUAAGAAGCAUAUUGUUGUGCAUGCGUUCAGCAUGAUAUGUGAAUAACUAUGCUCCACGCUCUAGCUCAGUCUGGAAUAUGACUUCUACCUGCAUCCUGAAAACUUGGACGGGAUGAGCCCUGAACUGAUUAGCUACUGCAAAGAAAUACAGAGUCUUCCUUUGAGGCCCUGACUCUGAGUCAUGGCUGCCCUGUUACACUGCCAUUCCCCCAAUGACAUGUUUGUUCUUUAAGAAAUAUCACCUCCUUUAUUUUGUAACUCUUAAAUCUCUGGAAGCAAUGGGGCAAACCAUCUCUACACAAACAGAUAGGAAAUUUUAUUAAGUACCACUGAAAAUCAAUAUGGACAGAGGAGCUAAUAAAUUAAGUGAGAUUCUUAAAGCCACCCUGUAGGUGGAGCUACUCACUUGGCUAUCUCACAGCAUCUUUCUGCACUGUUGAGACUAAUGAGGUUCACCGAAGAUUUGCAGUAACUAUUGGCUGAGAGUCAAACCUGAAAACUCUGUUGUAUAGUUAAAAUGUCAAUCUGAAUACUAAUCGAACUGAACAGUUUCAUAAAUGCUGGGUGAGUUUCUGGUAUUUUUAAUUAUCAAUUUUAGGGCUCAAGGUGGUCUGUAAAUUGCAUUUCUGUUUUACUGCAGGGAGUAGGUAUCUCUUCCAAGCACAAGUAAGGCAGCAGUUAUAUCACUAUUAGAAUCCUAGUGAAAUGCCUGUCAUAAUGGUGGUGUGCAUAUGUGUGGAAGAAGAGUCUGUGCAAUGAGGCCCCUGUGUUAGAGGUCAGAGUCAAGAGUGUAGCAAGGUUGGGGUGGGCCCAGAGACAAGAUUUUAAAAUGCCCCCCCUCACUGAAGCUCAGCUCAUGAAAUAAAGAAAUUUUAAAUGAGGCUGAAUAGUGGUAACAAAAAGCAUAGUAAAAUGUAUAUGUGCCACAAUAGAACAUUAUCCUAAAUUAUUUUUUUAAAGGUUUUGUAAAUUGUGGACGAUGAAAGUCAUUUAAUGGUACUAGAGAAAGACAUGCUGUUCUGGUAGCUCCGGGUCUUAACACUCACAUCAGUUUUGGAGGAUGAAUACAACCGAAGGAAGCCCAGGCGGGUGCACGGCUGGGGGAGUCAGUCAUGUGACUCGCCUCAGGCGGGGCAAGGCAGUGGGCCCCCAGACAACUGUCUCCCCUUGCCCUAUUAUAGUUACGCCCCUGGUCAGAGUACAGGCUUUCAGGGGUAGCUGGUGAGUGGCAAUGUAGUCCCUUCAUACUGUGUUUUAUUUUUCCUGUGUGGGAGAAAGUAAAAGAGUGCAUUUAGGCACACCCUUCGCUGUGUGUGAAGAGUUAAUCCUGCCCCUUUCCCAGGUAAUCCUAGUGUCUGGAGGGAUGGUCAGGUUUUCCUCCCUUCCCCCAACACUGCCUGAUGCUGCAGACACCUUACUUUGAGUCACAGAACUUAAAAUGAAACCACUGGGAAUUGGGUCAUUCCCUCUAUGAAUGGAAACUCCCGUUCACCCAUAGAUUCCUUCCUGGGUUCCCUUCCUUCCUUCCUUCCUUCCUUCCUUCCUUCCUUCCUUCCUUCCUUCCUUUCUAAUAUUAUUUUAUUGUUUUAAGAAAGAUAAACCAAGAGAAAUAAGAAACAGAAAAGAAAAAAAGAAACAAGAAACAGGAUAAUCAAACCCAGAAAUUACAAAGAUUCUCAAUAAAGUCUAUAUACGUCAACCUAAAUUCCUUCAGCCAACAUGUCUUCCCCACACCCACAACUCUACACAUUAUUAAGUACAGAACUGAAACAACAAUGAUAUUUUUACUGUCUGCAUUAGUUUCCUCUACAAAGAAAAGCCAUAUCUCGGAUGAUGUAGCAAUCCCUGCAAUAUAUUAUAUUGAAUAAAUGGUUCCCACACAUGAAAGAAAAAAUCCUCAGAUUUGUUUUUAAUAUAUGCAGUUAUUUUGGCCAUUGAUGCGUAUUCCCAAAGUUUGAGAUGCCAAUCAUCUAAAGUUGGAAUCAAAUUUGUUUUCCAACAGGAAGCAUAAAGGAUUCUUUCUGCCAUUAUCAUACAUAAAGAAAGUUCAGUAUGUUUUGCAAGAAUAUGCAGUUUAGUAAAAUUUAACAUGAAGAUUUCUGGGAGAAGAGGGAAGUUUGUAUGCAAAAUUUGCUACAUCUUGGAAUAUAUUGAUCUCCAAAAUUUUUGAGCUUUUUUACAUGUCCACCACAUACGAUAGAAAGUACCUGUCUGCUCCAUACAUUUCCAGCAAUCUCCAGGAUAGUUAUUGUUCAUCUCUGAAAUCAUUGCUGGAGCAAUAUACCAAAGCAGGUACAUUUUAUACCAAUUUUCUCUUAGAGUAUUAUUCACAGUAAAUUUUAUAUUCACCUUCCAUUGAAAUUCCCACGGUUGCAUCUCUGUUGUUCUGUUUAAGAUCUGCAUCCAUUUUACCAUACAGUCCUUUACCUGUUCAGAUUCAGAGUCAUACUUCAAUAGAAGUUCAUAUAUAAGGCCUAGCAUGUGUUCUGAGUUCUUUGUUCAAAUUUCAAAUUCUGUCAAAUCUCUUAAUUUCCCACCUUGCUUCCAUACUUCUUGCUGAAUUAUGCUUUUAAUCCAUAAGUAUAGUAACCAGGAAGGAGUUUCUUUCCACUCUUGACUUAAGCAUUGAAAGGAUUUCAUUUUUGAUCUUCCCUCCAUAAGACUCUGCAAAUCGUAUACUCUCCAUUGAUCAAAUUGUUUUGUAUGUUCUUCUCUGUGAAAAUAUAUAUUUAAUAUUGAAGCUACCGGCGACAAUGUUGGGCUUAUCCUUUUUUUGUACUUAUUCCAUACCUUCAUUAAGAGCUGUUCCUAAUGGGGUGAUUUUUAAUUUCUACAUUCAUUUUCUUUAUAUUCCAUUUCUUAUAUGUGACAAUAAAGUAUGAUGCUGAAA